rnacentral:rRNA from 1 species
UACGUAGGGGGCAAGCGUUGUCCGGAAUCAUUGGGCGUAAAGAGCGUGUAGGCGGCCAGACAGGUCCGUUGUGAAAACUCGAGGCUCAACCUCGAGACGCCGAUGGAAACCGUUUGGCUAGAGUCCGGAAGAGGAGAGUGGAAUUCCUGGUGUAGCGGUGAAAUGCGCAGAUAUCAGGAAGAACACCCGUGGCUAAGGCGGCUCUCUAGUACGGUACUGACGCUGAGACGCGAAAGCGUGGGGAGCGAACAGG